rnacentral:lncRNA from 1 species
AAGAGCCUGAAAAUUUCUCUAAAUGCUUCACUUUUUUUUUUUUGCCCCAGACAGCAGCUGAAACCUAAGGGUUUCAACCCAACCCUUAAAAAAAUUACCUUCAAUCAGCUCAGGCCCAUAAUCUUUGCUUUGCCACUCUCUUUGAACAGGCAGACACUUACAGACAGCUCUUCUGUCACAGGGUGACAGAGUGACAGGGUUCUGCUCCUUCACAUUCCCCAGAAUAAGCCUGUGUGUGCAGAACUGGACACCACCCUGCUGUAAAAACUGUGCACCACCAACAUGCCCCUUCCAGAGACAGCCUGAGGAAAGACCCAGUCAGAAAGUUUGCAAGGGGUGGAGAGGACGAGCAGUGGCCGACCUCAGGGCCAGGGGACCUGUUGGAGCUGUGGCAGGAUGAGCAACACCCUGGGAUGGCCAAUGGAGAGAAUCCCGUGGCUGUGCUGGACCCAGG